rnacentral:rRNA from 1 species
CAAAGGGAUUACCGGUGGCGGAUGGGCAUGCGGCGCAUUAGCUAGUCGGCGGGGUAACGGCCCACCGAGGCGACGAUGCGUAGGGGUUCUGAGAGGAAGGUCCCCCACACUGGUACUGAGACACGGACCAGACUCCUACGGGAGGCAGCAGUGAGGAAUAUUGGUCAAUGGGCGCGAGCCUGAACCAGCCAAGUCGCGUGAGGGAUGACGGUCCUACGGAUUGUAAACCUCUUUUGCCGGGGAGCAAGCGUGCGUUCGUGAACGCGCGUCGAGAGUACCCGGAGAAAAAGCAUCGGCUAACUCCGUGCCAGCAGCCGCGGUAAUACGGAGGAUGCGAGCGUUAUCCGGAUUUAUUGGGUUUAAAGGGUGCGUAGGCGGGAUGCCAAGUCAGCGGUAAAAAUGCGGUGCUCAACGCCGUCGAGCCGUUGAAACUGGCGUUCUUGAGUGGGCGAGAAGUAUGCGGAAUGCGUGGUGUAGCGGUGAAGUGCAUAGAUAUCACGCAGAACUCCGAUUGCGAAGGCAGCAUACCGGCGCCCUACUGACGCUGAGGCACGAAAGCGUGGGUAUCGAACAGGAUUAGAUACCCUGGUAGUCCACGCAGUAAACGAUGAAUGCUAACUGUCCGGCUCGAAUGAGCGCUGG